ACUGGGGUGUUUUUUUGUACCCACAGUAUCCCUGGUACUGUAGAAGACACAAAGAAAAAUAUAGUCCCUCCCCUGAAGAGUGUACAGCCUAAAGAACUCAUCAAGUCCAGACACCUCCUGGAUCACAAGCUUCUGUUCACAACAACACCUCAUAAGCACUCUUCCGGUGACAUCGUCCUCCCCACUGGACCUGCUGGACUUUGCAGACUGUUUAUAGGGCACCAAACAGAAUUUUUCAGCUGAGGACUGGAAUGUCUUGCUUGUCCUUCUCCCUUUAUUCACUCCUUUGGUAAUGUGAAGAAGCUGUAUCAACUUGCUGGAGGGAAGGAUGCUACAAUACAGAACUUUCGAGAAAACGGACACUGCUGUGUUGCAGCUAUGUAACUAACUGGAGUAGCAAAUGACAACUGUGAAUCCAAGAAGACUCCAGGGUUAUAUUGUACUCAGAAGAUUAGGAAACUACAGUGUGAAGGCACCUGAAAUAAAACAAGGUGUAAGAUAAGCUCUGGAACAGCACUACCAAAUACGUUUUUAAUGAUCACAGGAAUGGCAUUAAGAGCCACAUUGGGGUCUCCCAAAAAAGAUAAGACUUGAACCAAGACAAUUCUGUCCUAUAAACAUAAACUUAAAUUGAUAAAUAUCAAAGAACUGGGUGGUUCAUUGUAGAUAAAAUAAUAUUGAAACUGCAAUUCACUUCUGGAAAGUGAUGUAUUGAAACUCUCAGCAGACAUUAAGGGGAAAAUUCAGGACUGGCCUAAGUAGAGGUAAUUUAGACAAACAGUUUAAAGGCAUGCAGCUAGACAAAGCCACAGGUGAGGAUCCACUCAGGUUAUCUCAAGGUAGGUAUACAGGCUCCUAAGAGAAAGAGACUUUCUAGUCUGCUCAGUGUCACUACCUGUGGGUGGGAACACUCCCAUUGCUUACUAGUUCUGACAGCUUCCUCCAGCUCCAGCGUAUGCCUGUUUCCAGGCUAGCCAGCACCUGCUCCAGACUUCAUCGCUCUUGCCUCAGCCAGUCACUUGGUGACUCUGACAGUUUGAGCAGAAUCAGGCUCAGCAGUAACGCAUGCUCCGGCCAAGUCUACACUACAGAAUUAUGUUGACUUAAUUUAUGCCAGCAUACAGCGACCACAGUAUUAAAUUAAAUUAAAUAUCUUGUGUGUGCGCACACUUGGUUCCUUGUGUCAGUGGUGCACGUCCUCUCCAGGUGCACUUGCAUCAAUUGUAUUGUCAGUGUGGGGUAUUGUGGGAUGGCUCCUGAAGUCCAGUAAUAGUUGAUGUAAGCAAUGCAGUGUGUACACUGACACUGUGUCAACCUAAUUACAUCAAUGCCGCUCAGGGAGGCGGUGUUACUAAAUCAGAGCAAAGAGGCACUUUUGUUGGUAGGAGUCAAAUUUAAGACACUUCCACAGCUAGGUCACCACAAGGCAGCUUAUGUCAACCAAACCAUCUAGCAUGGACCCAGCUCUAGGCUCAGUGGUAACGCAGGGAUUCAUCACAGCUGCCUCUCCAUAUCAGAGCUAGUUGAAAAAUGGAAAAUAUAUUUUCAAGAAAAACUCUGAAGUUGUUUUUAUUACAGGUGGUUCAAACCAGACCAUUGGGGGGGGGGUUGUGUUCAAAAAUUUUUAUCGAGAGCCCUCUAAAAAUAUUUAAC